UCUGAGGGGAGAUCAGUGGCAGAGUUACCAAGACGAGAAUGGCGUGAUUAAGGUAAGGACACGUGUACACUGUGGAAUACAGUCUGAGGGGAGAUCAGUGGCAAAGUUACCAAGACGAGAAUGGCGUUAUUAAGGUAAGGACUCGUGUACACUGUGGAAUACAGUCUGAGGGGAGAUCAGUGGCAAAGUUACCAAGACGAGAAUGGCGUGAUUAAGGUAAGGACACGUGACUGACCAGUGUGGAAUACAGUCUGAGGGGAGAUCAGUGGCAGAGUUACCAAGACGAGAAUGGCGUGAUUAAGGUAAGGACACGUGUACAGUGUUAAGUACAGUCUGACGGGGGAUCAGUGGCAGAGUUACCAAGACGAGAAUGGCGUGAUUAAGGUAAGGACACGUGACUGACCAGUGUGGAAUA